GUGAAGUGUGUGAGACUUGAAAGCCGCGGCAACUGUCUCUUCAGUGCUCAUGUGACGUGUUGCAAACAGCCCGUGGAGCGACUCUGGCCACACAGGAUUGGUAAAGCCCUCCAAGGGACAGUCUACCUUUGGAGCCAUCAUCUCCCUCCAUGUCCA